rnacentral:rRNA from 1 species
AUGAACGCUGGCGGUGCGUUUAAUACAUGCAAGUCGAACGAGAAACUAAAUUUAUUUAGUGGAAAGUGGCGAACGAGCGAGUAACACGUAAGCAUCUGCCCCGUACUCAGGGAUAACCUGGCGAAAGUCAGGCUAAUACCGGAUGGUCUCGAAAGAGUAAAGAUUUAUCGGUACGGGAGGAGCUUGCGGGCUAUCAGUUAGUUGGUGGGGUAAAGGCCUACCAAGACUAUGACGGCUACCUGGUGUGAGAGCAUGACCAGGCGCGAUGGGACUGAGACACGGCCCAUACUCCUACGGGAGGCAGCAGUAAAGAAUCUUCCGCAAUGGACGAAAGUCUGACGGAGCGACACCGCGUGGUGGAUGACACCCCUAGGGGCGUAAACACCUUUUAUGAGGGAAGAAGAUCUGACGGUACCUCAUGAAUAAGCACCGGCUAAUUACGUGCCUGCAGCCGCGGUAAUACGUAAGGUGCAAGCGUUAUCCGGAAUUAUUGGGCGUAAAGCGUCCGCAGGUGGUUUGCUAAGUUGGUUAUGAAAUACCGGUGCUCAACAUCGGUGCUGUAGCCAAAACUGGUAGACUAGAGUGGUGGAGAGGUAUGUGGAAUUGUGCAAGUAGGGGUAAAAUCCGUAGAUAUGCACAGGAACACCAAAAGCGAAGGCAGCAUACUGGACACUUACUGACACUCAGGGACGAAAGCGUGGGGAGCGAAAGGGAUUAGAUACCCCUGUAGUCCACGCCGUAAACGAUGCAUGCUCGGUGUGAGAACCCUCGACCUGGUUCUCGUGCCUAAGGUAACCCGAUAAGCAUGCCGCCUGUGUAGUACGAUCGCAAGAUUAAAACACAAAGGAAUAGACGGGGACCCACACAAGCGGUGGAUUGCGGGGUUUAAUUCGAUAAUAAGCGAGUAACCUUACCCAGACUUGACAUCCUAGUCGUAGAUUUCAGAGAUGAUUUCGUCAGUUCGGCUGGACUAGUGACAGGCGUUGCAUGGUUGUCGUCAGCUCGUGCCUUGAGGUGUGCGGUUAAGUCCGUGAACGAGCGCAACCCUCAUCCUAUGUUGUAAUUUCAUGGGAGACUGCCCAUCAUAAAUG